rnacentral:misc_RNA from 1 species
CGCUCCUCAGUACGAGAGGAACCGGAGCG